rnacentral:lncRNA from 1 species
UCAUAAGGAGAAAUUGCUCCAGGUAAAAGUCAUCACAAUAAAUGGUUUCUUUUAUUUUUUUUUAAUAACACCCUGUUUCAAUGAGCUGCCUACAAUCCCACCAUUAAUGCUUCAGUGUUUUGGCUUAAUGCUGGCUUCAAGUAGUUCUUUUCAAGAAGCAAAUACCCCUGAGUUUAUAAAUCAAUACAGCUAAGGCUCCCCAUAAAUGCACCCAAACCUUCCAGAAUUCCACACGGAAACACUCCCAAAGGCAUUCAGAAUGGACCAGAGCUUCAUCCUGCUGCCUUUUGCAUGAUUUCUCAGGGCCUUGCAAUUAAGACAAUUGUUUCAUCUUGUGUGAUGAUGUGAAGAGGAUCCAAGAAGUGGCAGCAUAUCACUCCCACAGUAGCUUAGGACAGGGCAAGCAGGUACAGCACAAAUGUUGCACAGAAUUUUCCAGGUGGAGGGACAGAGGAAGAUAGAAAAAGUUGGCAUCAUGGGCAGGAACACAAUGUAGCUUCCCUGGGAGAAGAAGGGACAGUUGCUAGGCUCAAUUCUGCUCAGCCUUUACUGAACCCCACCAGGCUGGGCACCAUGCUUGGCAUAGGGCAUAAAACAAGGAAGUCAGCAGAGGGGGCAGCUUGGUACAGUUAGUGAGAACAUAGGCUUUGGAGGUAAAUAUUCUGUAUCAACCCAUUUUCAUACUGCUUUGAAGAAAUACCCAAGACUGGAUAAUUUAUAGAGAAAAAGAGGUUUAAUGGACUCACAGUUCCACAUGGCUGGAAAGGCCUCAAAAUCAUGGAGAAAGGCAAAGGAGGAGCAAAGGCACAUCUUACAUGGCAGCAGGCAAGAGAGCGUGUUCAGGGAACUGCCCUUUAUAAAACCUUCAGAUCUCAUGAGACUUAUUCACUACCAUGAGAAUAGCACGGGCAAGGCUCUCCCCCAUGAUUUAAUUACCUCCCACCAGGUCCCUCCCAUGACAUGGGCAAAUUAUGGGAGCUACAAUUCAAGAUGAGAUUUGGGUGGGGACACGGCCAAACCAUAUCAUAUGCAUUCACUCAUUUCGUUCAGCUAAUAUUUAUUGAUCACCUGUUAUGCUGUAGGCACUGAGUACAGUUGUAAAAAAGCCAAGUAUAAGUGCUGCUCUUGUAGAAUUUAUGUUCCAGGAGAGAAAUGCAAUAAAUAUUAGUGCUUACUACAGGCCAGGCAUUAUCUCCAGUACUUUGUAUAUGCAUUAAAUGUUACUCACAAGAAACC